GCUGGGUGUAGUGCUGUACACCUGUAAUCCCAGUGACUCAGGAGGCUGAGGCAGGAGGAUGGAAGGUUCAAAGCCAGCAACUU
rnacentral:sRNA from 1 species